UACAUACUAGCUCAUUGGUAGAGCAUUUCUCUCAUAAAGAAACCGUAGUAGGUUCAAAUCCUACGUGUGAAC
rnacentral:tRNA from 1 species